CGAAGCAACGCGAAGAACCUUACCAGGUCUUGACAUCCCCUGACAACCGAGAGAUCGGGCGUUCCCCUUCGGGGGACAGGGUGACAGGUGGUGCAUGGUUGUCGUCAGCUCGUGUCGUGAGAUGUUCGGGUUAAGUCCCGCAACGAGCGCAACCCUCGACCUUAGUUGCCAGCAUUCAGUUGGGCACUCUAAGGUGACUGCCGGCUAAAAGUCGGAGGAAGGUGGGGAUGACGUCAAGUCAUCAUGCCCCUUAUGUCUUGGGCUGCACACGUGCUACAAUGGCCGGUACAAUGGGCUGCGAUGGGGUGACCCGGAGCGAAUCCCACAAAACCGGCCCCAGUUCGGAUCGAAGGCUGCAACUCGCCUUCGUGAAGUCGGAGUUGCUAGUAAUCGCGGAUCAGCAUGCCGCGGUGAAUACGUUCCCGGGCCUU
rnacentral:rRNA from 1 species